AUUGAACGCUAACGGCAUGCUUAACACAUGCAAGUCGAACGGCAGCACGGUCGUAGCAAUACGAUGGGUGGCGAGUGGCGGACGGGUGAGUAAUAUAUAGGAAUCUGCCUUGUAGUGGGGGAUAACCCGGGGAAACUCGGGCUAAUACCGCAUAAUCUUUACGAAGCGAAGUGGGGGAUCGUAAGACCUUACGCUAUAAGAUGAGCCUAUAUUGGAUUAGCUAGUUGGUGGGGUAAAGGCCUACCAAGGCAACGAUCCAUAGCUGGUCUGAGAGGAUGAUCAGCCACACUGGGACUGAGACACGGCCCAGACUCCUACGGGAGGCAGCAGUGGGGAAUAUUGGACAAUGGGCGAAAGCCUGAUCCAGCAAUGCCGUGUGUGUGAAGAAGGCCUUAGGGUUGCAAAGCACUUUUAGUGGAGAAGAAAAGCUCAUGGGUAAUAUCCAUGAGUGCUGACGUUAUCCACAGAAAAAGCACUGGCUAACUCUGUGCCAGCCGCCGCGGUAA
rnacentral:rRNA from 1 species